GUCGAGCGGCAGCGCGGGAGCAAUCCUGGCGGCGAGCGGCGGACGGGUGAGUAACGCUUGGGAAUCUGCCUGUUAGUGGGGGACAACCCGGGGAAACUCGGGCUAAUACCGCAUACGCACUACGGUGGAAAGCCGGGGACCGCAAGGCCUGGCGCUAACAGAUGAGCCCAAGUCGGAUUAGCUAGUUGGUAGGGUAACGGCCUACCAAGGCGACGAUCCGUAACUGGUCUGGGAGGACGACCAGUCACACCGGAACUGAGACACGGUCCGGACUCCUACGGGAGGCAGCAGUGGGGAAUAUUGGACAAUGGGGGAAACCCUGAUCCAGCGACGCCGCGUGGGUGAAGAAGGCCUGCGGGUUGUAAAGCCCUUUCAGUGGGGAAGAAAAGCCUCGACCUAACACGUCGGGGUCUUGACGUAACCCAUAGAAGAAGCACCGGCUAACUCUGUGCCAGCAGCCGCGGUAAUACAGAGGGUGCGAGCGUUAAUCGGAAUUACUGGGCGUAAAGCGCGCGUAGGCGGCUUUGCAAGUCGGGUGUGAAAUCCCCAGGCUUAACCUGGGAACUGCAUUCGAGACUGCAUUGCUAGAGUAUGGGAGAGGGAAGUGGAAUUUCCGGUGUAGCGGUGAAAUGCGUAGAUAUCGGAAGGAACAUCAGUGGCGAAAGCGACUUCCUGGACCAAUACUGACGCUCAUGUGCGAAAGCGUGGGGAGCAAACAGGAUUAGAUACCCUGGUAGUCCACGCCAUAAACGAUGAGAACUGGAUGUCGGGAGGGUCUGCCUCUCGGUGUCGUAGCUAACGCGUUAAGUUCUCCGCCUGGGGAGUACGGCCGCAAGGUUGAAACUCAAAGGAAUUGACGGGGA
rnacentral:rRNA from 1 species